UUGAACACUUUUGCUUCGCUUACUUUGCCACAAGGUUGAGGUGAACGAGGCUUGGCGCAGGCCCAAUGAAGAAAUCCAAGAAGUCUGGAAAAACAGGAGGACAGAGGGUGUGGGAAGGAGGCUCAGCUAAUGACCUCGAACUGAAACUGCAGUGAGGGGCGAGGUAGAUGUGCAUCAGCUGUAAACAAAAAACAGAAGAAAGGGAGCUCAGUUCCGUGCAGUCACCUGACAGAUGAGAUGGGCAGCCUACAUUUACAGCGUGGUACACGGUGUUCACCCUCAGUGAUUUAAAAGCCUCCCUGUGCUCACGGUGAGAGCGUCCUUGGCCUCCCAUUGAAGUAUUGCGGUAUUUUCCUCUGACGAGCUGGCCUAAGCAUUUUCACAUCCAAUCCAGCGAGGCGUCGUGACACCCUCAGAGCGUGCACACCGUAAAACGAAACACCAGACAGCCUGCAUCUGUGUGCCGUGCUGACAGGAAAAACAUAGCAGCAUCAGCGGUGUACCCAAAACAUCCAGCUUCGGCUCCUAUUUCUGUCCGAUUUAGCUGCGAUCACGUUGCUGCUUUCAUCCCAAACAGACCUCACUGGAUGCGAAUCGCUUCACGUUCUAAAUAUCCCUGGGUGGAGGUUAAAUGGUGUGAAGGAAAGCUGGAGAUGAAGGUUCUUUCAUUCCAAUUUAAAGGCCAUUUGUUGUAGCGAAAUUUGGGAAAUAGCGGUUUUUGGAAAUAGUCAAAAAAUAUUUACACUGUUUGGGUAACACAAGAUACCAUUAUGUUGCACAAAAAUAAUU